AAAUUCUUAUCUACUACGUAAUCCAUUAAUUAACUAAUAUCGUUAAUUGCUAAAUUACUGUACAUGAGAGUCGUAUACACAGUAAUAUAAAGAAGCAGGAGUUCACCAUAUUUUUUCCAUGAUCCAAGGAAUUUGUCGAUUUCCAAAGUAACAUUUACUUUCUCCUAUAAAAUAAGCGGCCAUCGUUCGAAAGAGUGGUG
rnacentral:misc_RNA from 1 species